rnacentral:rRNA from 1 species
UACGUAGGGUGCGAGCGUUGUCCGGAAUUAUUUGGGCGUAAAGAGCUUGUAGGUGGUUUGUCGCGUCUGCUGUGAAAAUCCGAGGCUCAAACCUCGGACUUGCAGUGGGUACGGGCAGACUAGAGUGUGGUAGGGGAGACUGGAAUUCCUGGUGUAGCGGUGGAAUGCGCAGAUAUCAGGAGGAACACCGAUGGCGAAAGGCAGGUCUCUGGGCCAUUACUGACACUUGGAGAAACGAAAAGCAUGGGGGAGCGAAACAGGG